rnacentral:rRNA from 1 species
AUGUGUUUAACGGCCGCGGUAUUUUAACCGUGCGAAGGUAGCGUAAUCACUCGUCUUUUAAAUAAAGACCCGUAUGAACGGUAAAACGAGGGCUUAGCUGUCUCCUUUUUCAUGUCAAUGAAAUUGAUCUUCCCGUGCAAAAGCGGGAAUUACUUCAUAAGACGAGAAGACCCUGUGAAGCUUUAGGCACUAAGACACAGAUCUGGGCUAAUACCCCCUAAUAAAGAAUUAAACUGCUAAACCCUGUCUCAACGUCUUCGGUUGGGGUGACCGCGGGGAAUUACAUAACCCCCGCGUGGAAUAGGAGUAUGAGAUUAAUUUUACUCCCCCAGAACUAAGAGCCACCACUCUAGUAAGCAGAAUCUCUGGCCUUUAUGUGAUCCGGCAAUGCCGAUUAACGAACCAAGUUACUCCAGGGAUAACAGCGCCAUCCUCUUCCAGAGUUCCCAUCGACAAGAGGGUUUACGACCUCGAUGUUGGAUCAGGACAUCCUAAUGGUGCAGCCGCUAUUAAGGGUUUGUUUGUUCAACGAUUAAUAGUCCUACGUG